AGUGAACGCUGGCGGUAGGCCUAACACAUGCAAGUCGAACGGCAGCACAGUAAGAGCUUGCUCUUACGGGUGGCGAGUGGCGGACGGGUGAGGAAUACAUCGGAAUCUACUUUUUCGUGGGGGAUAACGUAGGGAAACUUACGCUAAUACCGCAUACGACCUACGGGUGAAAGCAGGGGAUCUUCGGACCUUGCGCGAUUGAAUGAGCCGAUGUCGGAUUAGCUAGUUGGCGGGGUAAAGGCCCACCAAGGCGACGAUCCGUAGCUGGUCUGAAAGGAUGAUCAGCCACACUGGAACUGAGACACGGUCCAGACUCCUACGGGAGGCAGCAGUGGGGAAUAUUGGACAAAGGGCGCAAGCAUGAUCCAGCCAUACCGCGUGGGUGAAGAAGGCCUUCGGGUUGUAAAGCCCUUUUGUUGGGAAAGAAAAGCAGCAGGUUAAUACCCCGCUGUUCUGACGGUACCCAAAGAAUAAGCACCGGCUAACUUCGUG
rnacentral:rRNA from 1 species